GACAGCCAGGAUGUUGGCUUAGAAGCAGCCAUCAUUUAAAGAAAGCGUAAUAGCUCACUGGUCGAGUCGGCCUGCGCGGAAGAUGUAACGGGGCUAAACUGUGCACCGAAGCUGCGGCAGCGACACUAUGUGUUGUUGGGUAGGGGAGCGUUCUGUAAGCCUGCGAAGGUGGCCUGUGAGGGUUGCUGGAGGUAUCAGAAGUGCGAAUGCUGACAUAAGUAACGAUAAUGCGGGUGAAAAGCCCGCACG
rnacentral:rRNA from 1 species